rnacentral:lncRNA from 1 species
CCGGAGAUGCAUAGCUUAUGCGGAAGAUUGCAAUACUUUAUGAUUAACUGAUUAAGGUUCAAACACGAGGACAAAAUACCCUCAAGUUGUCCACUUUCUAAUAGAACGCGCGUCAGAAAAAGGGUCUCGAGGGAGUUGAGACGGAGUGUGACACUUGGUUGUACAACGCAAACACUCAGAAACAAGGAUUUCAAGGAGGAUGCUUGAGAGAGAAGCUCAAGGGAAAAUUCAAAAAACCUGUUGCGUUUAGGGUAAAUGUAACGUGAUGCGGGAAUUCUUACACAGCU